UUUAACAACAGUUUCUCUGGUUCUGAAGGGUUCAGAGUCCCCUAUGAUUGCAGGAAGAGCAUCUUCGCCAUUUGGAUUCUUUUGGUACUUCUUCAACAACUAAGCAGAAAUGAGGAUGGGGGACAGGAGGUACGAAGGAUCUGCACGUAGCUGAGAAGGCCAUAACUGAGAUGAUCACAUAUCUGCCGUGGAGUACCUAAGUAAACACUUCGGAGCUGCACGCCACAGGGGACAGACGAUUCCAAAAAGGGCAGAGCCACAUGGAAAAGUGGAGUUUCAACCUUCACAGAUGAGAACUGAAAACACACCUGAAGAGAGGUGGUGUCUGUUCCCUUCUCUUCUGGGGUGGCCCAAGGUCUUCCUCUCGCUGUGGGCUUUCCAGCAAGAUCCUGUACAGUCUUCCCCCAGAAAUGCGCUGCCUUCCGUGGAGCAGCAGUGUCCAUGUCAGGAUGUUCUUUCUGCACUGAACCAGCAGUGAAAAAGCCCUGUGAGAAUCCCUGGGUCUUCCUGAAGUCAAGUUGACUUCCUGCAUCAAGUUGAGGAUAUCAAAACUCACAGGGAGUGGCUGGUGCAUGAGGAGUCAUCGUGCCCACAUCGCUUUGUGUCCUCCAGUUUUGAGGCAGAGGAUCCCACCCUGUUGGCCCUGCACUGAUGUCGCUGUUGGGUUUCUUCUUUGCAGAAGGGUCUGGAGCCUGCAGAACAGCCUUC